CAGUGCUUGGAUAGUGUGAUUAUCUAGGAAAGCCAUAAAGAACUAAUCGGGAGAUAGUUGCUUGGUCCAUGAGCCCGCCCUUCUGGCCUUAUGGGCAAGGGUUGCUGAGAUGUUGUCGACUUUGAUUGGACGACCAAAGGACUCAACAAAGGCAGCCCGCUCCAGAUAUUUAGAGAUUUCAGCCAUCUCACAUGACACUGGAAUGAAAAAUUUUUAGAGGAGGGGUGUUGAGAGGUUUAGUGUUGUGUGACUGCAUGAUGCUGUGUAUGCUGCAUGUUGUAGUGGGCAGU
rnacentral:lncRNA from 1 species